rnacentral:misc_RNA from 1 species
AACUUUUAGCAAUGGAUCUCUUGGCUCUCGCAUCGAUGAAGAACGCAGCGAAAUGCGAUAAGGAAUGUGAAUUGCAGAAUUCAGUGAAGCAUCGAAUCUUUGAACGCACCUUGCGCUCCUUGGUAUUCCGAGGAGCAUGCCUGUUUGAGUGUCAUUAAAUUCUCAACCUUCCAGCUUUUAUGAUCUUGGUUAGGCUUGGAUGUGGGGGUUGCGGUCUUCAUCAAUGAGGUCGGCGCUCCUUAAAUGCAUUAGCGGAACUUUUGUGGACCGACUAUUGGUGUGAUAAUUAUCUACGCCGUGGAUGUGAAGCAGCUUUAUGAAAUUUUGCUUCUAACCGUCCAUUGACUUGGACAAUUUUGACAAUUUGACCUCAACUCCGGUAGGACUACCCGCUGAACUUAAGCAUAUCAAUAAGCGGAGGCU